rnacentral:rRNA from 1 species
ACGGAAGGCAGCAGUGAGGAAUAUUGGUCAAUGGACGGAAGUCUGAACCAGCCAAGUCGCGUGAAGGAUGAAGGUAUUAUGUAUUGUAAACUUCUUUAGCAGUGGAGUAAUAAGGGGAUCGUGAUCCCUGAUGCAAGUACACUGAGAAUAAGGAUCGGCUAACUCCGUGCCAGCAGCCGCGGUAAUACGGAGGAUCCGAGCGUUAUCCGGAUUUAUUGGGUUUAAAGGGUGCGCAGGCGGCUUUUUAAGUCAGUGGUUAAAUCGUGACGCUCAACGUCAUCACGCCAUUGAUACUGGAGAGCUUGAUUGCGGUCGAGGUUUGCGGAAUUCGUUGUGUAGCGGUGGAAUGCAUAGAUAUGACGAAGAACACCGAUUGCGUAGGCAGCAGACCAGGCCGUAAAUGACGCUCAUGCACGAAAGUGCGGGGAUCGAACAGGAUUAGAUACCCUGGUA